rnacentral:rRNA from 1 species
AGUCUGACGGAGCAUUACGCGUGAGUGAUGAAGGUUUUCGGAUCGUAAAACUCUGUUGUUAGGGAAGAACAAGUGCCAUAGUAACUGAUGGCACCUUGACGGUACCUAACCAGAAAGCCACGGCUAACUACGUGCCAGCAGCCGCGGUAAUACGUAGGUGGCAAGCGUUGUCCGGAAUUAUUGGGCGUAAAGCGCUCGCAGGCGGUUCUUUAAGUCUGAUGUGAAAUCUUACGGCUCAACCGUAAACGUGCAUUGGAAACUGGGGAACUUGAGUGCAGAAGAGGAGAGUGGAAUUCCACGUGUAGCGGUGAAAUGCGUAGAGAUGUGGAGGAACACCAGUGGCGAAGGCGACUCUCUGGUCUGUAACUGACGCUGAGGCGCGAAAGCGUGGGGAGCGAACAGGAUUAGAUACCCUGGUAGUCCACGCCGUAAACGAUGAGUGCUAAGUGUUAGAGGGUUUCCGCCCUUUAGUGCUGCAGCUAACGCAUUAAGCACUCCGACUGGGGAGUACGGUCGCAAGAAUGAAACUCAGAGGAAUUGACGGGGGCCCGAACAAGCGAUGGAGCAUGUGGUAUAAUUCCGAAGCACGCGAAGAACUUACAGGUCUG